CAUAACCAUCCUCAAUCAUUAGGGCAAGUGGAAUGAGAAAAUCUGGACAUAAAAAGAUCUCUCAAGAAACUGGAUUUAAAUGGCCAGAAGCUUUGUCUUCAGCCUUGAUAAAGAUCCAGAAUACUGCAAAUAGAAGAUAUGAGUUAAUCCAUUUUGAAAUAGUAUUUAGAUACCCAAUGCCUACUGGCAUCUUUAAACUCAUGGGUUAAGUGAACGCUAUGGAAACUUAAGUGAACAAUUUAUUACUACGACUAGCUUAUAUGCAAGAACUAGUGUGCUUGAAGUGUAUACCAAAGGUAAAAGACGCAUGGCCCCCGCUGACUGACAAGCUUGCCAUCCCUUUUGACCAGGAAACUGGGCGUAUGUCAAGGUCUUUAGCAGAAAACAUGCACUGUCAUCUCGAUGGAAAGGGCCUUAGGAGGUACUGCUAACGACCUACACUGCCAUCAUAAUAAAAGAAAAAUCCUCCUGAGUCCACGCCCAGAUCUUCAUUCUCAAGAUAACUGGGAGGCAAUCACUACAGGUGACCUUAAACUGAGGAUUUCCAGGGUUGAUUCCCAGAUCCUCAGUGAUGCAGGACAGGGCAAGUUCCCCCGAGUUGGUGGGGAGACCAGUCCCUGCACUGAGAGAAGAAGAGGGUCCUUUGGCGGAGAGUGUAGAAAUUCCACACACACGACUAAGUAAGAGUCAAAAGGAAAGUUUAUUAGAAAAGGGAUAGCACUCCACAGACAGAGCGUGGUUUCCUCUCAGAGGCAGAGAGUGAGAGGGACAGCAAGAGGAACAAUAGAAAGAGGUGUAGGAAAUGGGUUGUUAGCCAUCCCAGCAGAAAUCUUCCUUUGUUCUGAAGGUGUCCUCCUGGCCUGGCUGCAGGGCCGAUCAGCAUAUGGCAGUCUCUGAUUGUGGCUUGAAUAACAUUUUAAUUCUCUUGCCCCAUCCCUACAUUAUCAGAAGCAGACAGUGCCAUGAUGUACACAUCUUUUCCAAAGAUCACAGGUAAGAAACUUUGCUUUUACCUACCUCUUCACCCCCAACGAGCCCCUGCUUUUAAGACUCUCUAAAGACACAUAUCCACACACACACCUCCUCUUAUUAAUGAACAUUUCUGCCCCCCCAAAAAAAUUUUAUUAAUUUUUUUUUUUUUUUUGAUAACUUACUGGAGAGUGGUUGCCCCUAUCUACUUUCUCUAAGUUUCCACCAUGGAUUCUAUUUUAAACUGUGUCUCUCUCUUACUCUCUUUUUCAACCGGUCAGGUACAGACACAAUAGCCCCUUAUGUCAGUUUACCAAGCCCUGGCUACAUUAACUAAUCGAUCUGACUGUCGGUUAUGUCAGCAUCUAGAUAAUGCAAAAGAGCCUGAAAAAGUCUUUGUUCCAGUCAAUUUGAACACCUAGUAGACUGAAUAUGAAAGAUGGAUGUGCAACAGGGUAUGGUAUCCAUAAGACAAUCGUCACUCUGCUUCUUCUGAUGAGUCGUUUGAAGCUCAAAGACUGUCCUUUGCCCAGAUUGACAGCACGUAUGGAAAACGGAGGUGUAUAAAUGAUGACAGUAUCAUUGACAAAAGCAAGAGAAUACUCUGGAACCUGGGAAUUACAGAUUCCACUUUAA